GGGGCUCCGACGGGAGACUCAUCACCCUGUGACAUACCUAAAACGUUGCUUCGGCGGGAACAGACGGCCCUGUAACAACGGGCCGCCCCCGCCAGAGGACCCCUAACUCUGUUUUUAUAAUGUUUUUCUGAGUAAACAAGCAAAUAAAUUAAAACUUUCAACAACGGAUCUCUUGGCUCUGGCAUCGAUGAAGAACGCAGCGAAAUGCGAUAAGUAAUGUGAAUUGCAGAAUUCAGUGAAUCAUCGAAUCUUUGAACGCACAUUGCGCCCGCCAGUAUUCUGGCGGGCAUGCCUGUUCGAGCGUCAUUACAACCCUCAGGCCCCCGGGCCUGGCGUUGGGGAUCGGCGGAAGCCCCCUGUGGGCACACGCCGUCCCUCAAAUACAGUGGCGGUCCCGCCGCAGCUUCCAUUGCGUAGUAGCUAACACCUCGCAACUGGAGAGCGGCGCGGCCAUGCCGUAAAACACCCAACUUCUGAAUGUUGACCUCGAAUCACGUAGGAAUACCCGCUGAACUUAAGCAUAUCAAUAGGCCGAAGGAGGGACCCAUGAUUGGGGGGGGUCGAUUAAACAGUCGUCUCGGGUCAUGCGUCUACCUUUGCUAGUGUAAAAGACUCUUGGAAUGCCCUAAUGUCUUGUCUUGUGACGUCUCUUCGAUCGCGACCCCAGGUCAGCGGACUACCCGCUGAGUUUAAGCAUAUCAAUAGCGGAGGAA
rnacentral:rRNA from 1 species